CCUACGGGAGGCAGCAGUGAGGAAUAUUGGUCAAUGGACGCAAGGCUGAACCAGCCAAGCCGCGUGCAGGAAGACGGCUCUAUGGGUUGUAAACCUCUUUUGUACGAGAGCAAACCCAGUUACGCGUGUCUGUCUGAGAGUAUCCGACGAAUAAGCAUCGGCUAACUCCGUGCCAGCAGCCGCGGUAAUACGGAGGAUGCGAGCGUUAUCCGGAUUUAUUGGGUUUAAAGGGUGCGCAGGCGGUGGUGCAAGUCAUCGGUCAAAUGGCGGGGCUCAACCCCGUACUGCCGUUGAAACGGCAUCCCUUGAGUGCGCGAGAAGUAUGCGGAAUGUGUGGUGUAGCGGUGAAAUGCAUAGAGAUCACGCAGAACUCCGAUUGCGAAGGCAGCAUACCGGCGCGCAACUGACGCUCAGGCACGAAAGCGUGGGUAUCGAACAGGAUUAGAUACCCUUGUAGUC
rnacentral:rRNA from 1 species